UUUAAAAAUCAAACUCAAAUUUAAACUCACCGAGUUCAAUUGAGUCAAACUGCUGGGAUUUAUCAUAAUUCGAUCAUAAGUUUUGAAGGUUUAGCCCAAUCUAUAACUCAUGGUAGGAUUCUAUGUUUUGAAGAAGGCCCAAUUAGAAAACUGAGCUGGGCCCAAUAUUUUGAUCUCCACAGAGUCCUAGGGUUUUUACAUUAUAAAUAAGCUGCAAAGCCCUUUGCUUGCAAUCGUUGUCCGUUAUCAGCGCAGCCUUUACAGAGCAAUUAGGGUUUUGGAGUGAACAGACGGUGGUAGCCUGUUACCAUGAGAGCUAAGUGGAAGAAGAAGCGCAUGAGAAGGUUAAAGAGGAAGCGCCGAAAGAUGAGACAGAGAUCUAAGUAGUCUUCUCAAUCGUGGCGUCGUUUGGCUGUUUUGUUGAUUAAGUAGUGAUAUUGGUGUCUGAUUUUAUGUUUUGAUCCAUUUUGUUGGUAUAAUUAACUCAGAAAUGAGAUUAUUUCUUACUUAUUUGGCACUUUAUUGCAAUUGUUGCAAUUAUAUCCAUUCAUAAACUAUUUGCAAGUAGUCAUGUUAUUUGCCCUAA